CUCCUAGUUAUAUGACGUAUCAAAUCAAAACAGACAUUACAAAUUUCCAUAGAUUUCAAAUAUUAACAAUUCAAAUAAUCUGACACACAUUGACACUGUCUUUAAAUUUUCGACCGAUAACUGAUUUCUUUUCUUCAGUUUUCAAUACAAUACAAAAAAAAACAUGAACACAGUAGCUUUGAAAUUGUAGACUUAAUUUCAAAUCACCUAAAAAGGUAUAGCCAAAGGCAUUACAAAAUUUGUUCAGUUAAAGUAGUCAACGAUUUUCAAAACAAACUAAAAACAUUUUUUCGUUUUUAUUAAUGUAUUCUUAAGAUACAAUCUCUAAACUGGAACACAUAAUGGGGACACAAUCGGUAAUAGAAAACUUUGUGGCCAUUAUAUCCAGUCCAGAGAGUUUUACUUAUUUUAUAUUUUUGUAAUUAAGCUUAACAUAGGACAAAUUUGCAAACAAUUUUAUUAUAGAACUAUGUAAACGAAGUCAAGCAUGAGGAAGAGAGAAAAUACAAUGGACACAACAACAAAAA